rnacentral:lncRNA from 1 species
UUUCAAAUAUAUUCACUCGACGCUGAGGACAUCUCUGUUGGUAGGUGCUGUUAUUUCAUUUUUUUCAAGGGAAGAAAAUAAAAUUUGAAACAGUUUCCACUCAGAAUGCCACCCACUAACGAACGGUGGGGUCUGAAACCUGGGCUUCCGACUUGCUGAGCAGCGCUCUCCACCGUAAUACGGCUGCCUGCGGAACCGGCUGACCGGAAGUGUGGCUGUGGGUGGUUUACCGCCAGACUGUGAUGGUGGCGGGGCACGGCUGCGUGACUGUUGUGAGAGUUUCAGCCUGGAGAGGACCACCCUGCUGGAAGGGUGUCCUGGGAAUGAAGUCCACGUAGGUGAGAACACACACCAGGGAUAUGUAGCUGGAUGGACUCAGCAGCCCUUGGGGAAUAAAGCCAGCUCAACUCAGCUGUACUUCUCACCACGUGGCAAAGGAUGGACCAAAGGCUGGGAGCAACUGGGAGUGUCUGGGGUGAGAGCUGAAUGUAGGCUCCAACAGGAAGACGGCAUUGAAGCCUGGUUGCUUGUUACUACUCAGAAUGCCAUCUACAAAAGGAAAUUAUGUAAAAAGCAAUAAAGAACCCCUUUUGUUCUUGCAGGAGUCAGUGUUUCAUAACUCUUUCUGUGAUAUCGUCUGUAUAAGUUGAACCUCUAAAGAACCUUAUCUAAGUUGCCACGACCUUACUCAUUACCCUCAAGAAAGAUGAACAAUUUAAAGGGGGAAAAAAGGAAGUGAAAAAAAUGGCGGAUACGAGGCAGAACUAACCUGCAGCUUCCACUCGAAGGGACAGAGCAGAGUGUGGAGACCCACAACUGGAACUUUUUCUCCAAGAACUACCACAGGAACAUACCAAGAAAGCCAAGAGAAUCCACAGAACCUUUGGAGGAAGUGGUUUGUCACUGCAGGCUCUGUGGGACAGCUGAGGAACUGCCAGCGUCCUCUUUCCUGUGUUGGUCACAUCCUCAAAUGCCUUUGGGGCUGGAUGAACAGUCGGCUUGUGGGUUUUCAUGGUGAUUUCAACUAAUAUGUGGAAGGGAAGGAGGGGAAGAGGAAAGACUCGGUGAUGGCUACAGCAGGCAAACCAUAUGCCACCGCAUGGGCCUGAGGACAAUCUCGGACGUCUUGCAAACAAUCACCCACACAAGUGUCCUGAUGAGUGGCGACCUUCUCAGCGAGGACUGACAACCACACGGGUUCCUACUUCAUGACCAGACCAGGGUCACCAUGGAGACAUUUCUCAUUGGAUCAGCUUAUUAUGCCAUAGGAAACAUCUGAUUGAAAUGGAACUCACUGACCUAAAGCUCCUAAAAAAAAAUUUUCUAGGUCAGUGACAGACAAGUUGGCUGCUUCAAAAAAGGUCCUGAAAACUCAAGACAAUGGAACAAUGCCAAGCAGUAAGAUAUGGAUACAAUGAGUAAAAUCUAAAGAUUGGUUCCUUUAAGACAAAGGGAUCAACAUGUAAUAACUUGGAAAUAUAUAGCAAAGAGAGAGCCAAAGACGUCUUCUAGCCCUGCACUUUGCCUCCUACUAGAACCAGUGGGAAGAUGCUCCAGGAAGUUAGCAGAGUCAGUUACAGUUAACUGCAGCUCAGUGUAAGGAAGAAACUCAACAGUGGAGUCAUUUUGAGAGGGAAUAGGUUAUUCUGAAAAGUAGGGAGUUUCCCUUCCCUAUGGGAGUUGAAUCCAAGGUUGGAUCUUUUUUUUUUUUUUUUUUUUUUGAGAUGUGGUUUUCCUAUGUUGCCCAGGCUGGAGUGUACUGGCUAUUCACAGGCAUAAUCACAGCAUAGCACACCCUUGAACUCCUGGGCUCAAGGAUCCUCCCACCUCAGCAUCCUGAGUAGGUGGGACUACAGGUACACGCCACUGCACCUGGCCUGGAUGAUCAUUAUUAAUGAAUGUUUUGUAGAAGGGAUAUAAACAUGAGAUUGGUAGAUGAUCUGAAUGACUUUUAUGUUUGAGAGUAUUUUAUUCCAUACUCACUGUAGCCUUAUGUUCCCAAUUUUAAAUACAUAUAUAUAUACACACAUAUAUAUACACACACAGUUAUAUAUGCUAAUAUGUUACUUAUGACUAAAUAGUAUUUAUUUUUUAUGUUUCUCUAAUAUCAUUUAUAUUAAGAAAUUAAUUAAUCAAAAAAUCAAUCUUUUGUCAGACCAAAAGCUUGAAAACAAAAUAUGGCCUGUAUAACUAUAUUUCAUGGAAAAAAUAAUAAUCCAAACCAUUUCUCAGUGGCGUUUGUUCCUGGUUCCUUUUCCAGUACAUUCAUUCACUCAUGAAAAAUCAUUUUUGGGCUCAAAUGGUAGAGAAAACAAAGCCAAAAUUCUGAGCAGCAGUCCCAACCCUAGGAAGCUGUGUGGUUAUAUUAUCUAACAUCUAAAGGGCUAUUUAACCAUUCUAGGACUUGGUUUUGUCAUUUGUAAAAGGAGUGAAAUAACAGAAGCUGCCUUACAGGAUCGUUGUAAAGAUUAAUGUGUGAAUAUACGUGAGCCACUUAGAACAAUGGCUGGUACAUAGUAAGUACUAUUUGAGUGAUAGCUUUCAUUAUCAUCAUCAUUCAACAACAAUAUUGUUAUUCCAGGCUUGGGGAGCAUAAACACGAAUAGGACAGGACCUCUUUUUCUCUAAAGAUGCAUAGUCCGGCUAGAGAAAGCAUGUAGGUAAACAGUGCAGGAAGGGGAGAGAAUCACUGUAAUGGGGAAAUGUGCUAGCAACUCCAAAUGGGAGAUUGCAGAGAAGGCUGUCAGAGAAAUAGGCUGUUGAGCUGGGUUUUGAUGACUGACAAGGCAUUUUCCAGGUAGAGGAGGGAAAAGUGAUCUGGGCUGAAGGAUGUCACUUUGUGUUUAGCAAUCCUGAGGUUGCCUUAAAUCAGCCUCAAUCACUUCUGUUGAGUAGAAGCCUAUGCUUUCUGUCCUGCCCUGGUUCUUGGCUGCAGGUCACAAAACAUUUCAGUCCAUUCAAGAAUCCUUGAGAGCUCUCCUGGGGACCUCCUGGGCAAUGCAGAGGUCAGACAGCAGAGCCACAUUCUCAGGGAGAGUGGCACAGUCAAGGGAGAAGACAGGUGAAGAGAAUGUUUUCCUGUGAAGGUGGUGAGCUGAUUGCCUUAGAGAGCGUGAGCUCCUGCCUUAGAGAGCAGGUGAACUCUCUCCAAGAAAGCAAAUGGAAACAAGCAAGCAAAACACGUUUCUUUCUCUUGUGUCUACACCCCCAGCCCCCACCACCCAUGAGUAAAGUGUCUUAUCUAGGUCUUACAAUCAGCCUUCCUAUCCAAUAUUCAGAUUUAUCUGAACAUGAGACCCAACGGUAACUCUUGUCCCCCACGGCUCACGUGAUGUAAAGGCUUACCUGGAGGAUCUCGCCUAUUCAUAGCAUCUUUGUCUCCAUGUCCUUAUCAUCAUGUCCUCUUUCGGGAAGCAAAAGAAAAGACCUUUUGCUCAUUUCACUUACUUGAGGAGACUGUUUCAAAUUGCUAUUUCUAUAUGGCAAAUUUUACCUCCACCCUGACUUAACUAGGUGAGGGUAGAAAAUGAGACCUGUGGAACAGAGGAAAAGCGAAUGCAAGGGGAUGAGCGGCAGCAGCAAGAACAUCCUGGACCAUUGGGGUGAGAUCAAUGAAACCCACACUGGAGCCCAGGCCCUGAUGUCCCCUGAGCUCCUCCUCCACAGCCUGUCAACUCCUGUGUCUCUGCAGUCCUAAAUAAACAAGAAGCAGCAGGUAAUUUUAUUUCCAAUCCAUGUUCACAAGAGGCUUCCUUUACUGGCAUCUUGCUGACAGGACCUUGCCUUACAAUGUGGAGUCACUUUUGCCCAGUUUAGCUCAGACAACUUCCUAGCAGGGAAGUAGGGAGUGGAUGGCUGGCUGGAGGUCUGGAAGGGGGACACACAUGGAAGGGGGUUGUUGUUUCUAUUAAAAAUGGACAGUGCCGCAGCUGUGGUCUGGCCUCCUACUCUCUCUCAAGCUGUAAUCCAAGGGUUGUCCAGUGCCACGGGUUGGCUAUUGAAAACCUAAGUUGUUGAAUCACCUUUGAAAACAGACUCAAAUUCAGACUGAUCAGCCCAGAGCAGAAUUCUGUUGGGCAUGUUCCCCAGGCAAAACUGUUGAGUAGAGAUGUAAAAAAAAAAAAUUCUAGAAACUGAAACAUCAUGAGAGCCACUUUACAGCAAAUCUAAUUACUUCCCAUUGUUUACAAUCACUGUCACAAAUGAUUAUCAUUUGUUAAAUAUUUGCUGAAUUCACUUCUCACUUCUCUCUUAGGAGUUGAUUUGGGUUUAGUCAUGGAUGGCUCCCUACUCUCUCUUCGUAUUGAAGCUCAUUUUAUCCAAGAUGUUAUACAGAUGAGGGACUUACUGCUAACCUUGUUCUCAGGGAAGCUCCAAACUAAAGAAUCAAAAAAUAUGAUAAACUUGGGCCAAAAAUCCCAUCCACAGUUAUGGGAAUACCAUGACUGGGCAUAUGAGACACCUGAUUUUCAGCCUAAGGAAGCACCAUCGGCGAGACAUACAGUAUCACAAUCUGGCUAUAUUUUAUGCUCCCUUUCCAUCAGUCUGGGAUAAAUUGUGUGUGUCAAGUUCGGCAAGCAUGGGUGAGCUAAAUGGAGCUGUUAGCUGUCUUUUCAACAUAUUUAUCUGUUUCAUUGCCUACUCUAGGAUGUCUUUGUGAUCAUUAUAUAGGGAUCACAGAUAAUAGACUAUUUGAAAUCUUACUUCAAUUAAAACUUAAUCCUCAGAUGUCAAUAACAGUGUUUUAUACAUAAGGUUACAAUAAAAACAAUGUCUUUUGUGCAUAUCAUUAAAACAACAACAGAAAAUCAAGAAUAAGAAAUGGCCUGAACAUUUUCUAAAACAAGAUGCUCUACUAUGUCGUGUACCUUGUCACUGUGAUAAAAUUAUGGUUAUUUCAAUAUCUAUGCAACUUGACAAAGUCACACAGGAUUUAUAAGAAAAAAAAUC